UUCCAAUGUAUUCAUCAUCAUCGGUUUUUUUUUUUUUUUGUCCUAUCGUCUUCUUCAGACCACUUAUCUCUCCCCCCUCCUCUCUCCCAGCACCAUCACCGCCUUCCCCUGAUCUGCCCCUUUAAGAAAAAUCAGCCCUCUCUGCUCCUAACCCUCUGCACACUGACCUUACACACUGGACAAUAUUUAAGGAUCAAGGUGCCAUCCUAUAAAGAGGAUUUUCGCACAGAAUGUUUGUUUCUGCCCAGCGUUGCGGGAAGAUUAGGCCAAGCAUUAGCAUUUCGGACUGCGCAAUCUCCCCGCGGCAUGCGAAGGGACUGCUCCCCGUUCGGGUCCGAGCCCCGGACAGAUUAGGCGAUGAAAGCACUGGUUCCUCUGGCCAUGAAAAUAUAGCGUGUAAAUUGGCUUUUAAGAUUUUCUGAAAAACAUGUUCAGCUAUAAGAAUUCCUUCAAAUUCGUUACACUCCGCUGUGUAAGGCUACGCUUUGCUGGUCCAGGGUAAGGUAAAAAUGAAUGUCCUAAAAUAAGAGGUCGUAAAACAUUCACAUUUGAAGAUAUACCUUGAACGGUAUUAUAAUUGUAAAAGAGAGCACACUGUUGUCUUCAAAAGGCCAGGCUAUAACCCGAAAUAAUUUUUGGAGGACGCAAACACAGCAGUUUUAACCAUGACGAUCUCUUAGAAUAAAGACCGAUUAAAGAGUUUAGCAAUUUUUUAGACUUCGGAUCAAAGUAUUGUUGCCCAGGGAACGCUCGCCAGACGAAAGCCAGGCGGCAGCGAGGGGCGCUCCAGCGUGGCGAGCCCCUUGGGAGCGGGAGGAGCCCGGGCGCCGGCCCCGGGGCAGCGGGCUCGCGUCCCCCGGCGCUUCGGGGGUGUCCGCUCCCGCGGCAGGCACAAGCGGUGUCACUAGGAAGCAGGUGUUGGACGGGUAAUUUUCGAUCAGACAUUGUUUAACCGAAAUGCACCGUUCUGAAGAUACUAAAACGGUCUCUUCCAGCUUUCUUCUCGAAGGAACCCGAAGUCCCCCCGCCCACGCCCUGAAAGGCGCAAGCGAGCGGUAGCGCUCGGCCAAGUGCGCCGUUUUGGCGUGUUACCCCUUGCGAGACGCCUCUCUGAGGAGGGCAGGCACAUCAGCAAAGCCGAAUCGCUGCAGAAAUCCCUUUCCUCAAGGACUGCAACACCCUGCUCUUCCUCAGCUAGCCUGAAGUCCGACGCGUACCGCUCAGAGCCGGCUGCCCAGGCACCAGCCUCGGGGGCUCGCACCGCAGGAAGUCUCAGUCUCCGGCGGGAGACAGGCGAGGCGCAACACGCGCAGACCCCCUCGCUGCGCCGCCCCAGCCGGCCAGCCUCGCCGGAGCCCCCGGCGGCACCGCGGCGGCUCUGCGGCCGCCUCCUCCCCUCACUUUCCGCGAGCGCGGAGGAGCCCGCUCCGCUCCAGGCCGCCCCGCGGGGCGCAGCCGCGGAGGAGCGGCGGCCCGGGGCAGCUCCCCAGUCCCGGUCGCUCCCACAGGGCAGCCCAAGGCCGCUCCCCCCCCCCCCCCCGGCACUGCCGCCUUCGCCCCGCGCAAGAACCGCGCCGGCUGCGCGGGGCAGCGGGCGAGGCGGCCCCACUCCUCCCCGCUUUCACACGAGGCCACUGCAACUGCCGUCGCUGCAGAGGCAGCGGACCGCUGCUCCGCCUGCGCCUCCGCCGCUAACGACGGCUGCAGCGGAGCUGGCUGUAUAAUUAUUAGCUAUUAAUUGAGUUCAAGACCUUUUAUGGCUGUAGGAAAUGAGGAGUCCGACCACUAAUCCCGAAAAGGGUCUGUGCACAGCCAAGAGCUAUGAAAAAGCCAUCCAGGGCUGGCUGGGCCCGGCCUGACACAAUGCCCCUGGGGGCAGGGAAAGCAUUAACGAAAAAAAUUCAUUAGGUGAAAAUUAUAGAAACUUUAAACCGACGGGUUUAUUUACUAGAGCCCUUUGGGGGCUGACACGGGAGCGCCGGGGAAGGCAGGGGUGCGAGGGCCGGCGGCAGCGCCCGCCCGGCGGCCCCCAAGCAGCAGCGGGUGCGGGCCCGCCGCGGCCUUCCGCGCUCAGGCGCCCAGGGACGGGACGCGCCCCGCCGAGGCCGGCGCUGCUGGGAGCCGCCGCCUCGCCCCCGCAUCCCGGUCGCGGAGGGGACUUCGCCUCCUCUUUGCACGUCCCCACCCUCCGGUGAGGCUUCCUCCGAAUCGCCUCGACGCUCGUUUCCACGCGAGGGACGCCCGGAGGUGCUAGCGCCUUCUCUCCUCUCGGCACCCGACCCUUCUCCUCCGCUCCCGCGUGAAAGACGUUUCGGGACAGCAUUCACGGACCGUGCGAACGACCAACCCCCCCCCCCCCUUGCCAGGGAGAGAAAUCCGGUGUAUUCAGGAAAAGGGCAUAUCCUCAGAAGCUGGCAGAUUUGCUUUUAAAGGCUGUUUUGUUCGUGCCUUUUUUCUGAAAAAUUUUUAUUCAUGUAUUUUCAAGGCACGGCUCACAUGCCUGCAAAAGAUUAUUAAAGUAAAACAUCAUAGAGGUUUUCCCCCUUCACUGUUUAGAAUUACUUUUCUGGAAGAACUUUCUGAGCAUAGCCCUCCCCGAGUCAUAAUUAAGAACACGAUUUUUUUGCUAGCAAACAGGAAAAGUCAAAGUCAAAUGCUUUCCCCAAAGCUCCUCUUCGUUUAAACGCGGAGUUCCGCACUGCAGCAGCAUUUUCAGAUACCUUUGCGAUAGAUAAAACCAUUUUGCGUGCUGAAUUGGUGUUGUUCAUCUACAGAGGAACAAAUUAAAGCAGUGAGACAUGUUUA